rnacentral:rRNA from 1 species
CCUACGGGGGGCAGCAGUGAGGAAUAUUGGUCAAUGGGCGCGAGCCUGAACCAGCCAAGUCGCGUGAGGGAUGACGGCCCUACGGGUUGUAAACCUCUUUUGCCGGGGAGCAACGGGCGUGACGUGUGGCGCCACUGAGAGUACCCGGCGAAAAAGCAUCGGCUAACUCCGUGCCAGCAGCCGCGGUAAUACGGAGGAUGCGAGCGUUAUCCGGAUUUAUUGGGUUAAGAGGGUGCGUAGGCGGAUCGUUAAGUCAGUGGUCAAAUUGCGGGGCUCAACCCCGUACCGCCAUUGAAACUGGCGUUCUUGAGUGGAAGAGAAGGGUGCAGAAUGCGUGGUGUAGCGGUGAAAUGCGUAGAUAUCACGCAGAAUCCCGGUUGCGAAGGCAGCCUGCCGGCUUCCGACUGACGCUGCAGCGCGAAAGCGUGGGGAUCGAACAGGAUUAGAUACCCGUGUAGUC